rnacentral:rRNA from 1 species
CCGUAGGUGAACCAGCGGAGGGAUCAUUAAAGAGUUGCAAAACUCCCUAAACCAUUGUGAACCUACCUUCAACCGUUGCUUCGGCGGGUUGGCACCGGGUCUCCCGGCGCCCCCGGCCCCCUCGCGGGGCGGCCCGCCGGAGGUACCUAACUCUUGAACAUUGUAUGGCCUCUCUGAGUCUUCUGUACUGAAUAAGUCAAAACUUUCAACAACGGAUCUCUUGGUUCUGGCAUCGAUGAAGAACGCAGCGAAAUGCGAUAAGUAAUGUGAAUUGCAGAAUUCAGUGAAUCAUCGAAUCUUUGAACGCACAUUGCGCCCGCCCGUAUUCUGGCGGGCAUGCCUGUUCGAGCGUCAUUUCAACCAUCAAGCCCCGGGCUUGUGUUGGGGACCUGCGGCUGCCGCAGGCCCUGAAAUGCAGUGGCGGGCUCGCUGUCACACCGAGCGUAGUAGCAUUAUCUCGCUCUGGGCGUGCUGCGUGUCCCGGCCGUAAAACGACCUUACACCCAAGGUUGACCUCGGAUCAGGUAGGAAGACCCGCUGAACUUAAGCAUAUCAAUAAGCGGAGGAAAAGAAACCAACAGGGAUUGCCCUAGUAAC